GUCACCAACUCAUCAGAAAUAAAGGCUUGGGAUACAGAGGACCCGUACUACCAGGAGGCAGCUCUGCAGACACAUAUAUGCAUGGCAGAAGUGGCUUCAGAAGACAAGGACCUUUCGGGGUGUCGUCCAGCUACCCAAUGAAAUCGGGACUACAAGCAUCUGUUGUUUAUCAGCGUCCGUUUUACGAUUCCUUGGUCAAUGUCUAUAGCGCAGAGAGCA